AUUGAACGCUGGCGGCAGGCUUAACACAUGCAAGUCGAGCGGGGGAAGGUAGCUUGCUACCGGACCUAGCGGCGGACGGGUGAGUAAUGCUUAGGAAUCUGCCUAUUAGUGGGGGACAACAUCUCGAAAGGGAUGCUAAUACCGCAUACGUCCUAUGGGAGAAAGCAGGGGAUCGUCGGACCUUGCGCUAAUCGAUGAGCCUAAGUCGGAUUAGCUAGUUGGUGGGGUAAAGGCCUACCAAGGCGACGAUCUGCAGCGGGUCUGAGAGGAUGAUCCGCCACACUGGGACUGAGACACGGCCCAGACUCCUACGGGAGGCAGCAGUGGGGAAUAUUGGACAAUGGGGGGAACCCUGAUCCAGCCAUGCCGCGUGUGUGAAGAAGGCCUUAUGGUUGUAAAGCACUUUAAGCGAGGAGGAAGCUACUUUAGUUAAUACCUAGAGAUAGUGGACGUUACUCGCAGAAUAAGCACCGGCUAACUCUGUGCCAGCCGCCGCCGUAA
rnacentral:rRNA from 1 species